AACGAACGCUGGCGGCAUGCCUAAUACAUGCAAGUCGAACGAGAAAGCACUUCGGUGUGAGUAGAGUGGCGCACGGGUGAGUAACACGUAGGUGACCUACCUUAAAGCCUGGGAUAACCAGUGGAAACGCUGGCUAAUACCGGAUGUUUAGUACAAGUUUGGAUACUGUACUACAAAGGGGGCUUCCGCUCUCACUUUAAGAUGGGCCUGCGGGACAUUAGCUUGUUGGUGGGGUAAUGGCCUACCAAGGCGAUGAUGUCUAGCUGGUCUGAGAGGAUGAUCAGCCACACUGGAACUGAGACACGGUCCAG
rnacentral:rRNA from 1 species